rnacentral:tRNA from 1 species
GCUGUGGCUCAGUGCUAAAGUACCUGCAUAACAUGCAGAAGGUGCCAGGUUCAAUCCCUGUUAUCUCUA